rnacentral:rRNA from 1 species
UACGUAGGGGGCUAGCGUUGUCCGGAAUCAUUGGGCGUAAAGCGCGUGUAGGCGGCCCGGUAAGUCCGCUGUGAAAGUCGGGGGCUCAACCCUCGGAUGCCGGUGGAUACUGUCGGGCUCGAGUACGGAAGAGGCGAGUGGAAUUCCUGGUGUAGCGGUGAAAUGCGCAGAUAUCAGGAGGAACACCAACUGCGAAGGCAGCUCGCUGGGACGUUACUGACGCUGAGACGCGAAAGCGUGGGGAGCAAACAGG